rnacentral:rRNA from 1 species
CACGUAGGCGGACCGAUCAGUCGGGGGUGAAAUCCCGGGGCUCAACCCCGGAACUGCCUUCGAUACUGUCGGUCUGGAGGAUGAGAGAGGCGAGUGGAAUUCCGAGUGUAGAGGUGAAAUUCGUAGAUAUUCGGAGGAACACCAGUGGCGAAGGCGGCUCGCUGGCUCAUUUCUGACGCUGAGGUGCGAAAGCGUGGGGAGCAAACA